ACUGCACUGACAUUGAAUAUUGCUGCAUAUUGCAUCUGGUUUUGUGGAUAAAUGGUGUUAAUGAAGUGGUGGUGGUGUUAAUGAUUUUGUAUUCCGUCGUGCUCUAUCCCCUUUCUCACAUUAUAUCGUGCUUUUGGUGGAGAGUUCUCCGAGCUGCUUAACAGGGAGAACGUCCUGCAUCGUCGGUUCUUCAGCUUUGGUCUGCAUAUCAGUGUGCAGUGUAAAGUGUUCAUUACUGAUAACAGCUGCAAUGGCAGACCGUCAGGAACCCGUUGCUGGCAUUAUCGACCAUUUGCGGCGCACGCUGGCCAGUGGUAAUCACAGCGACGUCCAGUUUACGGUAGGACGGCAGUUUGGGGAAGUGAAAACGCUGCAGGCACACAAGUUGGUGUUGAGCAUCAACAGUGACGUCUUUGAGCGGAUGUUCUACGGGAGUCUGUCGGAAAAAAUGCGACGCUCCCAUCGAUGUUCCUGAUAUUCUGCCAGACGCUUUCCUCAACAUGCUCAGCUUUAUGUAUUCGGAUACCGUGGAACAUCUGGAUAUGAGCAACGCUGUGCAGACCAUGUUUUGUGCCGUGAAGUACCACAUUCAGCCGCUGUUUGAUCGGUGCUCGGAGUUUAUCGUUGGUCAGCUGAACGCGGAGAAUUGUCUGUCUGUUCUGCAAAGUGUCAAACUUCUGCAUCCACCUACCGUUAUCACGAAAUGCUUGGAGCCUUGGAACUAGUGGAUGAAUACUCUGAAAACGUCUUGCAGUCGGAGCAGCUGAUGUCCGUUGACCGUGACAUCUUGGCGAUGAUUCUCGUACGUGAUACACUGUCGGCUGCGGAGCAUCUCAUCUACGAAGCUGUCGAAAAGUGGGCUGUGAAUGCUUGCCAAAUGCGCGAGCUGGAUCCAUCGGGCCAAUCGACGUCAGAUGCUGGGUACACUGUAUCAUGUCAGAUUUCCACUCUUGCCGAAUGUUUUGUUGGCGGAUGGUCCCUUGAAGGAUAACCAUAUACGACCCGUAUGUAAUAUGGAGGUUGGCUGUAAACGGGUUUACUGACGAUGGAGGAAAUGGGGAGGAUCUACCGAAUGAAGUAUGCCACGGAGAAGCCGGUUGAUCAUUUCGUUGCGGCACGUCGUCAGCCUGUGAAGCGUCUAACAGCCUCCCAGAAAAGUGACACAGCCUUUCGCCACUGGUCUCGUGAAGAUUUUUUCACACUAUUCACGACCCUGGACACCGGAAAUUCGGAGCAAUGAAGACACUAAGUCUUGCCAGUGCAUGCCGAAUGCGUGUGCGCGAAGGAAGCCCUGGAGAAUGGAGAUACUGGCACUUCCUCGUUUUCUUUGAAGAUUCGGCGAUGAUACACAAUCAGAAUAUUAUCGGAAAUACCGUGCUGCUAUUUUUUCUGCUGUGAUAUUAUGUGUUUAAAGCGUACGUGCUCACAGUUCUGUUUAAAUUCUGUAGGGUUUUCUUAUUUUGUGCGAAAUGAUUCUUACCGGUUAGUAAUUAAUUUUUAUUAUUGAUGUACAGUACGUACUAGAUACAUAUUUUACACGUGGCCGCUGUGCUGUACGUACGAUACGAAACUGUACUUAUACUACGUGUUGUCUUUCGCGUUUUUUGGCAGUAGUUCCAUUAUUGUGACCAUUAA